CAACCCUCGAACCCCUCCGGGGGGUCGGCGUUGGGGAUCGGGAACCCCUAAGACGGGAUCCCGGCCCCGAAAUACAGUGGCGGUCUCGCCGCAGCCUCUCCUGCGCAGUAGUUUGCACAACUCGCACCGGGAGCGCGGCGCGUCCACGUCCGUAAAACGCCCAACUUUCUUAG
rnacentral:misc_RNA from 1 species